rnacentral:rRNA from 1 species
GAUGAACGCUGGCGGCGUGCCUAAUACAUGCAAGUCGAGCGAACAGACGAGGCGCUUGCUCCUCUGACGUUAGCGGCGGACGGGUGAGUAACACGUGGAUAACCUACCUAUAAGACUGGGAUAACUUCGGGAAACCGGAGCUAAUACCGGAUAAUAUCUUGAACCGCAUGGUUCAAUAGUGAAAGACGGUUUUGCUGUCACUUAUAGAUGGAUCCGCGCCGCAUUAGCUUGUUGGUAAGGUAACGGCUUACCAAGGCAACGAUGCGUAGCCGACCUGAGAGGGUGAUCGGCCACACGGGAACUGAGACACGGUCCAGAGGCCUACGGGAGGCAGCAGUAGGGAAUCUUCCGCAAUGGUCGAAAACCUGACGGAGCAACGCCGCGUGAGUGAUGAAGAUCUUCGGAUCGUAAAACUCUGUUAUUAGGGAAGAACAAAUGUGUAAGUAACUAUGCACGUCUUGACGGUACCUAAUCAGAAAGCCACGGCUAACUACGUG